ensembl:lncRNA
GUCCGUUUUUGCAAAAAUUCGUAUACAUCCUGGCCUCUUCAUACCUCUUUGGGACAGACCCUCCAAGCUCUCUGAGAGGCUGUUUCCUAGACUAUAGUACUCAGUAAAGUCAUCAAAGGAGAUCAAACCAGUGCAUCGUAAAGGAAAUCCAUCGUGAAUAUUCACUGGAAGGACUGAUGCUGAAAGUUCAAUCCUUUGGCCACCUAAUGCAAAGAGCUGACUCACUGGAAAAGACCCUGAUGCUAGGAAAGACUGAAGGCAGGAGGAGAAGGGGACAACAGAGGAUGAGAUGGUUGGAUGGCAUCACAAACUCAACAGACUUGAGUUUGAGUAAACUCUGGGAGAUGUUGAAGGACAGGGAGGCCUGGCGUGCUGCAGUCCAUGGGGUCACAAAGAGUCAGAUACGAUUUAGUGACUGAACCGCAACAACAUAAGUCAUUAAAUAAAACAGAUUUUUCUGCUUUGAAGUUGUGCGUUCUUUUUUUUCAGUCGACUCCUGAUUGCACAGAGCAAAUCCAUGACCAAAUUCAAAGGAGGGAAAAUAAGUCAGAAUUUGGUGGGCUGAGUGGAAAUCUAUCUAGGUUUAUAUGGACCAGGUCACGGCCAGACCUGAGUUGUGAGCCCAUGUACCUGGCACAGAUAAACUGAAGAGUCCUAAUAUUUACCCCACUUCCUAGUCCUCUAGUUUCCAAAAUAACGCACGUGAAAAUUAAAUUAUAUUAGCUGUAUAGGAUAAUAGGGUUUGCCCAGUGGCCCAGCGGUAAAGAAUCCUGCCAACGCAAGAGACAUGGGUUCGAUCCCUGGUGGGUUGCCAUGCCCUCCUCCAGGGGAUCUUCCUGACCGAGGGAUGGAACCUGGUCUCCCGCACAGGCAGGCAGACUCUUUACCACGGAGCCACCAGGCAAGCCCUGCAAAUGCACACGGAGUAUAAACACCCCACCCCCGACACCUGUGCCCCACACCACCCUGGGAAAUCGUUUAUGCCAUUUCUCACAGCAUCACCACGAUAUUCCCCUCCCCGUCACCUUGACGGGGCUGGCUCGGUAAUUCUUCCCGCUCCUUGGCCAGUUUCUGUCCUGUGUGACCUCCCCAGGCUUUGCCCAAAUUUGCCCAAGUUCACGUCCAUCGAGUCUGUGAUGCCACCCAACCAUCUCAUCCUCUGCCGCCCCCUUCUCCUCCUGCCUGCAAUCUUUCCCAG